rnacentral:rRNA from 1 species
UACGGAGGGUGCAAGCGUUAAUCGGAAUUACUGGGCGUAAAGCGCACGCAGGCGGUUUGUUAAGUCAGAUGUGAAAUCCCCGCGCUUAACGUGGGAACUGCAUUUGAAACUGGCAGCUAGAGUCUCGUAGAGGGGGGUAGAAGUUCCAGGUGUAGCGGUGAAAUGCGUAGAGAUCUGGAGGAAUACCGGUGGCGAAGGCGGCCCCUGGACGAACGACUGACGCUCAGGUGCGAAAGCGUGGGGAGCAA